rnacentral:rRNA from 1 species
UCUGGCAGCUUCGCUGUCCGANUUGUAGUCUCNAGAAGUGUUUUCCGCGUUGGCACGUGUAUGAGUCUGUUGGAAUACAGCGUCAUAGAGGGUGAGAACCCCGUUCAUGACACGUNNACCAGUGCNUUNUGAUAACUUUCGAUGAGUCGAGUUGUUUGGGAAUGCAGCUCAAAAUGGGUGGUAAAUUCCAUCUAAAGCUAAAUAUUGGNGAGAGACCGAUAGCAAACAAGUACCGUGAGGGAAAGAUGAAAAGCACUUUGGAAAGAGAGUUAAAAGUACGUGAAAUUGUUGAAAGGGAAACGCUUGAAGUCAGACGUGCGCGGUACUUGUACCACUGCAGGCCANCAUCGGUU